UACGGAGGGUGCAAGCGUUGUCCGGAUUUAUUGGGUUUAAAGGGUGCGUAGGCGGCCUUUUAAGUCAGUGGUGAAAGCCCAUAGCUCAACUAUGGAACUGCCAUUGAUACUGAAAGGCUUGAGUACAGACGAGGUUGGCGGAAUGGAUGGUGUAGCGGUGGAAUGCGCAGAUAUCAGGAGGAACACCAAUAGCGAAGGCAGCUCGCUGGGACGUUACUGACACUGAGGCGCGAAAGCGUGGGGAGCGAACAGG
rnacentral:rRNA from 1 species